AACGAACGCUGGCGGCAUGCCUAACACAUGCAAGUCGAACGAGACCUUCGGGUCUAGUGGCGCACGGGUGCGUAACGCGUGGGAACCUGCCCUUAGGUUCGGAAUAACUCCCCGACGGGGGUGCUAAUACCGGAUAAUGUCUUCGGACCAAAGAUUUAUCGCCUUUGGAUGGGCGCGCGUUGGUUUAGCUAGUUGGUAGGGUAAAAGCCUACCACGGCGAGGAUCCAUAGCUGGUCAGAGAGAAAGAUCAGCCACACUGAGACGGGGACACGGCCCAGAAUCUUACGGGAGGCAGGAGAGGGGAAUACAGGACAAUGGGCGAAAGGCUGAUCCAGCUAGGCCGCGUGAGUGAUGAAGGCCUUAGGGAAGUAAAGCUCUUUUACCCGGGAUGAUAAUGACAGUACCGGGAGAAUAAGCUCCGGCUAACUCCGUG
rnacentral:rRNA from 1 species